CGGCUCUCCAGCACUAAGCCCCCUAACUGGGAAGCAUAACCGACAGUUCCAGGCAAUGAGGAAGAUCCUGAGAAUUCCUAGAAACUGACGUCCGCAGAACCGAGAGUUGGAGAGGAGAGUGAACAGCGCGGUCGCAGGCUGAGUCCGGACCCCUGGGACUGACAGGAGGUUUCCAGUCAAACGCUCGCAGCUGCAGUGGAGCCAAAGACACAACCAGCUCUCAGUGCCGCGAGUGACACUCACCGGCCCGAAACCUCGAAUGAAACCAGCAGCUUCGGGGGCGGCGGCAGCAGUGGCAGCAGGAACCGAACAUCCAAAAUGGCGGCUCCCUCGGCCUCACCACCGCUACUGCAGGCGGAGGGAUCCCAGGCGAGGAGGGAGUUUCUAACUCACUUCUCGCGCUUCUCGAGAAGACGUCGCUCCUCCGCUCCCUCUCCUCGUCCACUCCGCGUCCCUCCAACUGCAACCUGUGCUCUUUCCCACCUCGGAUGACCCGAGUACUCGGACCCUGCUGAGGACUAUUUGCCGAGGAGGAGGCGACUGCGCCUGGCAGAGCGACGCAAAGCGUAGCAAGGGUCGGGGCUGUCACUGAUGACGCUAGACGCGGCUGCCGAGUCACCGCUGCGAGGAGUCUGAGCUAGAAAGGUCCGGCCCUACUCCAGAGUCAACGCACUUUGGUUCCGCUUGGUGGCGGGGUUGGGGAAGUGGUGCAGCCGGGAAACGGUGGGGUCACCUGAGGGGGCGGAGCUCAGCAAGGUAACUCAGGAAGUCAGAGAGGGCAUGUAGCUAGUGUUUCCAAAAGAAUUCUUAAGUGGUUCGUAUCACCUUUGAAUCCUUAGCUUUUCUGAUCAAAUUUAGCAGCAUGCCGAGUAGUUUUGGAAUCCUUGGUUUUAUGGUAUCUUCAUAAUUUUUUUUGCAAAAACAGAAGAUGAAACCGAAGAAUGGAUCCAAGCACAGCACCACCCUUUGUGUGUCAAUCUCACCAACGAUUCAGUUCCCUCCCGUGAGAAAAAAAGAAUCUGGACAAAAGACAGCUAAAACUCUUCCAGAAUAGGCUUUCAAUCUAUGAUUGAAUGAACUAAUAACCUGAAGCAAAGAAAGUCUAACUAGACAGUUCCUGGUGUGAUAAAUAAUUACUAACUUGUGACAAAAGUCUUUUCCAUGUGAACCUAGAGAUCCUUGAUAUCUUGGCCCAUUUAAAGGAAAGGUGACCUACCUAGAAUAAAAUCUUUCCGAUAGAUUGGCAACAAA